GCCUCACUGAUGCUCUGCCCACUGCCCAGAUGCUCUGCAAGCAGUCUUCAGAUUGGGUUUUGGUUUUACUUGUUCCAUUACAUAAAAUAUUCAAAUUUGAAAAAAAGACCACAAGCCAUAAAAAUUACAAAUACCUAAAGAUAUUUUCAGAUAACAACAUUUCCCUUUUGCUCCUGCUGGACAUGGUCUCUGCCCUUUCAGCUCGCAGUGCAGCAGUUUCCAUUUUGAGGUGUGAUGUUCUCAGGUCAGACCUGGACAAAGGAACCUACCCAAAAUAGGGGUGUCCUAAGCCUGGUUCAUGAACCACUUGCAAGCUCCCCUCAAAGUUGCAGAAGGGCUGGAACUGCAGAAAGCUGAGAUAAGAGCCCUACCCCUUCCUUGGCACGAUGAACACGAUAUGAAGGAUGAAGAGGAACUCAAGGAUCUCCUCUGCUGGUACCCUUGACUGCAACCCAGUUCUGCUUUCUGAAUUAGAAAGUUGAAUGUGAAACGGAUUAACAUAAAAACCUACAGAAAAGGGCAAGUACCUGAGACACCCGUGCCCAUGUGACUCACAGUUCAUGACUCGUGGAGUGAUGCCAUUCACUUCAGCACUGUGCCUCACUGCUGAGAUGGUGAUGAAGGAGACAAGUGAAAUGAAAGUUUAUAAAAAGAGAGGAGUAUCUUCCCAGAUAAGUGCUGUGCCACCUGCAAUCAUCCCUACAAUUAAGUGGUUCCCUAAAAGGAAAUAUUGUUUCUGCAUUUGUUUUUUUAA